GAUUAUGGCUCAGGAUGAACGCUGGCGGCGUGCUUAACACAUGCAAGUCGAACGGAGUUUUAACGGAAGUUUCGGAUGGAAGUUAGAACUUAGUGGCGGACGGGUGAGUAACGCGCGGGUAACCUGCCUCAUACAGGGGGAUAACAGUUAGAAAUGACUGCUAACACCGCAUAAUAUAGCGAAACCGCAUGAUUUUGCUAUCAAAUAUUUAUAGGGUAUGAGAUGGGCCCGCGUCUGAUUAGCUAGUUGGUGGGGUAAAAGCCUACCAAGGCGACGAUCAGUAGCCGGCUUGAGAGAGUGACCGGCCACAUUGGGACUGAGACACGGCCCAAACUCCUACGGGAGGCAGCAGUGGGGAAUAUUGGACAAUGGGGGAAACCCUGGUCCAGCGACGCCCGCGUGAGUGAAGAAGUAUUUCGGUAUGUAAAGCUCUAUCAGCAGGGAAGAUAAUGACAGUACCUGACUAAGAAGCCCCGGCUAACUACGUGCCAGCAGCUGC
rnacentral:rRNA from 1 species